ACUCGCGCGCUCGCUUCCAGCCACCCGAUGAUGGAGCGGCCGCCGUGCGCCCUGCUGCUGGGUGCAGCCGGACUCCUGCCCCUGCCCCUGCCCCUGCCCCUGCCCCUGCCCCUGCCCCUGCCCCUGCCCCUGCCCCUGCCCCUGCCCCUGCCCCUGCCCCUGCCCCUCUCAUCUUCGGAAGCCGCGGGGAGAAGGCCAUCACCCAGGUCAGCAAGGGCACCUGCGAGCAAGGCCCACUUUGCUCUUCCAAAGACUGCAUUGCCUUUACUGAAGGCUAGCUACAUCGAUGGCACACCACAUGAACAUGAUGAGUCGUCCUGUGAAGGAACCAAGCCAUCUGCAAUACAACCGCUGUUUGGAAACUUCAUCUUCUUACUGAGCUUGGCUGUCUGCUACAUGCUCCCUGUGGAGUGGAACAUCCGCAGACAUUUUAAAGGAACAGCUUUGUGUCCCACCAAAGGCACCCAUCCCUGGGUCUCUUAAGCUGCCAGGCGUCAGUGCUGUUUUGCACAGACGAUGCUAUUAAUAGCAUUGCAGUCUUUGGUUUCAAUGUAGAGGCUCUCAGGGACUUACCCUGGGAAUAGAGACAUCAGCAGAUUUCCAGAUGUUUCUUGGUUAUUGGAAUACCCUGACAGAUUUUUAGCUGUCAUGUCCUUCAGUCCAGCAAUCCAGAUGUUCUUUCUCUGCCAUUUGUCAUGGGGUAUAGCCAGGAUCUUAACUACUAGACACCUCUAGUAUUCUAAUAGAGUGUUAAUGGCAUUGGCAACACAGGGUAUGAGAAAUAACCUCAAUUUAAGUUAUUUUGUGGCAUCAGAACACAGUGCCAUUUAUGCUUUCUGUAAAAAUAUCCUUUGUAUCUUCCAGCUUCUGGCACUACUGACUUUGGAUCUGUGGGCAGUAUUUGGAUCAAGAGCAGUACUGUUACAGAUUGAAAACUCAGGGAGACGCACACACAUGUUAGUUUCAGACUUCUGUGUUCCUGAGGAUUGCUUUAACUUGUGAUCUCCCUGGCCCUGCCUCCCCAGGGCUGGAUUUGUAGAAAUGCACAACCAUGCCUGGUUCAUGUGUGCUGAGGACCAAUCCCAGGGUUCUAUGCAUGCUGGGUGCUGAUGACUGAACACUUAGACUCACACAUCAUAUGUGGGUAAGCUCUCCCAUCUACCACCUAGCUUCAGGUUUGUCAGCCAUCUCUCCACAUACACAUUAAGCAUUUGAAAAUAGACACUGCUGAUAUUGGAUGAUGUCAAGGUUCAGAAGACCUUCCAGAGGAUUUCGAGGAUCUUCUGUCCUCAAGGAAUCGAUUACAGAUUUCUACUUGCAGAAAAGCUCAGCUGGACACAGCUCAAGUGAGCUGCACAUAUAUUCUCCCUCUACAACCCACUAUAAAGGAGUGGAUGCUCUCUGGAACAUUCUAACCCCACUGCAGAGGCUCAGAACAGAGUAACAAUCACUGGUGUGGACAAUGUAUCUAAGGCUUAAGCUGACUGCUUUGCGGGAACACUUCACUAACCGCUCAAUCCCCAUGAUGCAGUUCUGAAUCCUCCCUGUAACAGGGGGUCUUCGCUCGUGCCUGAAGAUGUUACGUCCCGGGUUUCAGCACCACUCUGUGGUAUGCCUGGCUCACCAGCAAGAAAGACGCCACAGCAGGAUCCUUCUGCAACACAUUUAUUGGGAGAGCAUUGACUGUGUAGGUAAAAGACCCCGAGCCCCAGAACUGGUGCUGUUUAUAUAGGCCUAGGAUUGACGUGUCCACACCUGAUUGGUUGUGCCCUUAGCACCUCAUUCACGUGCCUUGGGUCAGGCAGUGACUCAGCAAAAAACUCUAUGGCACAUGCGCACAUUGGUUGUUUACCGAUAUUCAUGGGCGUCCGCUUAUUGAAACUAGCGCCAUUUUGUAAUGGCGUUUGUGGCUUCCCACAUCUCUUGUAAUGGCGUUUGCAGCUUCCCACACAUCAUCAUGUGAUAAACUGAAGUACAACAUCAGGAGAAAAUAAGUUCUAACCAGCAACAACAGACUACUGGUAUCCCUCAACACAUGUGGCAAAACAUCUAAGUAGCAGCCUAGGCUUGGAACUGGACAAGGCUGUCUAUUGUAGUAGGUCUGUACCAAAACUUGACAAAUACAUUCAGAGUCAAUGAACUAUGAGAGACAUUAAAAGUUUUAACAGUCCUUCCAUAUCCCAAGGAGUUCUACAUGACUAAUAUAACAAAGAAAGUGGCUCUCAUAAGCCAGCAGAGCCUGCCAGUUUUCUCCUCCCCAAAGCUGCUCUGUGCCCUCACUAUAGUGACAGAUGAUGACACUAACGGCAAGAAAUGUACCAGGCCUUGUACUUGAAAAUGUUUGAAAAAGCAUGUACUCAAUUCAAUGUUAACUGUCCUUCAUUCAGUUAAGAAAGAUAAGCCAAAUAGUCCUGAGAGGAAUGAAAUCUAUCUGUAAAAUGCAGGAAAUAGUGGCUACCUGAAGUGUCAUUUAUUUUUAAAUCACAUUUUCUGUUGGAAAAUAAGAGGUGGGAAACAGCACUUCUGCUCUUACUCACGUCAUCCCCAAGUGGAGAGAGCAUGAAAUUGUCCAGUGGUUAUAUAUGACUGUAAUCUCAACAUUUGGGGUGGGGGUCUCAGGUAGGAGAAUCAAGAGUUCAAGGUCAUCUUUGGUUAUAUAGCCAGUUGUCUGGGAUAAAAAAGAACCUGACUCUGCUGUUCAUGUCACAUCACCAGCUCUGAGAAGUCACAGUCUUGGUCCACUCAACUUGCUGUGAAUGGGAAUCUCAGACAGAUUUCCUGCUACUUUGGGCGAAUAGAAAAUGAGGAGUUCAGCUAGUCACAAACACAUUUAAAGAAUAAAAACAUUUUCAGAACAUCAUGAGAUUGAGGUAAUCAUUCCUGAUGCUCUUAGUGCCUGGAGCUGCCAAGUGUGGCAUCCUGCACCUACAGGAGCCAAUUUACAUUGUAGGCUUGAAACUUUCAAACAAACAAAAUAUAAAAAAAAAAACAAACAAAAAAAAACAAUUGUUUAAACCAAUAGGUCACCUCAGUUGUGAACAGUGUUAAGAAUUAAUAUUAUGAAAAUACUUUAAACCUAAAAAUUUUGAAUGUUGCCUUCGGGGGUAGGGUGGUUAUGGGAGGGCUCUGGUGUCCGGAAUGGAGGUUUGUAACUUUGUGUGGUCAGCGCUGGAGUCAGCCCUGGUGGUCAGGGAGGAUUGUGAUGAACUUGGAGCUGGUUCUUAGCCCCUCCCCCUGCCCCCCGUCCCCCCCCCCCCCCCCCGCACCUGCCCCCUCCGUGGAAAGAGCUCGGAGGAGUGGAGCGGGGACUGAGACGCCUAGGGACAUGGAAGCGCCUGAGCGAGCACAGCCCAGAGUCCCACAGCCUGCUGCCUGUGCAGCCUUCAAGGUAGCUGAGAAGCAGCAACCCUUUCCAGUGCUCACAGGAUGAUGAGUGGCAGUGGAGGAACGAGACAGUGCUCACAUACAUGGCCAUGGCCGCCGUGGGCAUGCUAGGGGCCUCCUAUGUCGCGGUGCCCCUUUAUAGGUUCUACUGUCAGAAUACUGGACUUGGAGGAUCAGCAGUGGCCGGGCACUCAUCAGACCAGAUUGAAAACGGGGUGCCUGUUAAGGAUCGAUCAGUAAAGUCACCUUUAAUGUC